rnacentral:rRNA from 1 species
CGACCGGCGCACGGGUGCGUAACGCGUAUGUAACCUACCUAUAACAGGGGCAUAACACUGAGAAAUUGGUACUAAUUCCCCAUAAUAUUCGGAGAGGCAUCUCUCCGGGUUGAAAACUCCGGUGGUUAUAGAUGGACAUGCGUUGUAUUAGCUAGUUGGUGAGGUAACGGCUCACCAAGGCAACGAUACAUAGGGGGACUGAGAGGUUAACCCCCCACACUGGUACUGAGACACGGACCAGACUCCUACGGGAGGCAGCAGUGAGGAAUAUUGGUCAAUGGACGCAAGUCUGAACCAGCCAUGCCGCGUGCAGGAAGACGGCUCUAUGAGUUGUAAACUGCUUUUGUACGAGGGUAAACUCACCUACGUGUAGGUGACUGAAAGUAUCGUACGAAUAAGGAUCGGCUAACUCCGUGCCAGCAGCCGCGGUAAUACGGAGGAUUCAAGCGUUAUCCGGAUUUAUUGGGUUUAAAGGGUGCGUAGGCGGUUUGAUAAGUUAGAGGUGAAAUCCCGGGGCUUAACUCCGGAACUGCCUCUAAUACUGUUAGAUUAGAGAGUAGUUGCGGUAGGCGGAAUGUAUGGUGUA